rnacentral:rRNA from 1 species
AUCUUUUAAAACUUUUAACAAUGGAUCUCUUGGUUCUCGCAUCGAUGAAGAACGCAGCGAAAUGCGAUAAGUAAUGUGAAUUGCAGAUUUUCGUGAAUCAUUGAAUCUUUGAACGCACAUUGCGCCUUCUAGUAUUCUGGGAGGCAUGCCUGUUUGAGCGUCAUUUCUCUCUCCAA